rnacentral:rRNA from 1 species
CGGCAACAGCUCAAAUUUGAAAUCUGGUUCCUUCGGGGCCCGAGUUGUAAUUUGCAGAGGGUGCUUCGGGCGCGGUCCCAGUCCAAGUCCCUUGGAACAGGGCGUCACAGAGGGUGAGAAUCCCGUACGUGUCUGGCGACCUACCCCAUACGAAGCCCUUUCGAC